rnacentral:rRNA from 1 species
ACGCUCGACACCUACGGGAGGCUGCAGUGGGGAAUAUUGCACAAUGGGGGAAACCCUGAUGCAGCGACGCCGCGUGAGCGAAGAAGUAUUUCGGUAUGUAAAGCUCUAUCAGCGAAGGGAAGAAACUGACGGUACCUGACUAAGAAGCACCGGCUAAAUACGUGCCAGCAGCCGCGGUAAUCUGAGCGGGCUGGCAAGGC